UACGUCUAAGGGAUGGCAGCAGGCGCGCAAAUUACCCACUCUCAGAACGAGGAGGUAGUGACGAGAAAUAACGAGACAGUUCUCUUACGAGGCCUGUCAUCGGAAUGGGUACAAUCUAAACCCUUUAACGAGUAUCUAUGAGAGGGCAAGUCUGGUGCCAGCAGCCGCGGUAAUUCCAGCUCUCAAAAUGCAUAGAAUUAUUGCUGCGGUUAAAAAGCUCGUAGUUGGAUCUGUGCUGGCGUCCCGGUCCGCCCUCGCGGGCGUGCACUGGAUUCGCCGGUUUUCCGCUCAACUCCUGCCAGCGCCCUUCACCGGGUGUCUGGAAAGGGUGAGCAAGUUUACCUUGAACAAAUCAGAGUGCUUCAAACAGGCGUUUAGCA
rnacentral:rRNA from 1 species